UGUAUGUUAUUAUAUUGUAUAAAUGUAAUUGUAGUCCAUCAUACUCUACCAUGCUAUUUAUAAUAACAUACUUUUGUUUAAUUAUUAUUUAAUCUUUUUUUUUUAAGAUUAAGGCAGGGGGCGGGGGGCACUUCCAUCAAUCAUCAUUGCAACACCUGAUCCCUAGGUGGCGGUAAUGUACAACUCGGCACAGAAGAAGAAGAGGAGGAGGAGCUGGGGGAGAAAAAGCAAGGAAGAAGAGUGUUAAUGGUGUUUACUGCUCAUCUGGAGAGUCACCGCCAUCUUUCUGCAGGGGGUUAGAAGGUUGUUUCGUCCUGAUGGCCUGCACUCCAGCAGCCUCGGAGCGGAACUGCUGUCUGACAACAUCUCCAAGACGCUACACACCAAGUGACUGUCUACCUCAAUGGUGCAACAAGGUAUCUGGACUAGAUGACCUAUCUGGCCUUUGAUUGGGCCUACUGCGUCUUCUGAUGGAGAUGUAAAACGAAGUGCGUGAGUUUAAAAGACCUGUGUUCCUGUAGGUGUUGAGAGGAUAGUGUGGAGGAUACGUUUGGUCCGGAUCAGGAGGAUCCUUAGGCUCUUGCCAGAGUUUCUGUGCAUGUGGUAAGUGCAGGAGUCAACACCUGUUUCAGUGUUUAUUUACAGUCACAGCGUUUAACCUCACGCUUCCUACCUCGCCAGGCAGAUCAUGUCCGAGGUCAAGGCACUCAGACAGCGAAUAAGAGUGAAUAAGUUCAGACGUUACUUUAACGCAUCUGUGAUCUCUCUCUACACAUUCAUUACGCACCGGUUUCACUGACCGUGUUUAGCGUGCAGCCUAGAAGGAGGACAGGGUGAUGGCGGAAUGGCUAACCCUGGCAUAGGGCACGGCCAACAGGCUGCAGCUCCAGACCCGGAGGUACAGAUGCACAGUUCAUCUAAUUAAAACUUGUCUAUUUUUUAAAACUACAUUAAACCACUCCGCUAACGAUUCAUCAGUGACUCGAUCACUUGAGUUUUAUUCCAACACAUUCCUGUUUUAUUUUACUGUGUUUCUAUUGGUUUGCAGACAGAGUGUGUUCUGUCCAUGGAUAACGGUUUUAGAUGUAAAACAAUGUGCGUGAGUUUAAAAGACCUGUGUGUUCCUGUACGUCUUGGCGAGACGUAACCAUCUGAUCAAUAGGAUCAAUGUUAUUCCAGCAGUUGUGUUCCUGUAGGUGUUGGCAGCUCAGGAGCAGAGACGAGCGACUCUGAUCGCAAUCAUCCGUGAUCUAAGGCAGCAACUUCAGCACAUAGGGUUCAUUACGCACCGGUUUCACUGACUGCAUUUAACGUGCAGCCGAGAAGCUGACGGAAGGUGAGCUGCAUGAUGGCAGGCUGAUCGCCGAUCAGAAGGUACUACACUGAAAUACUCCACCCCGGUCAGAGUAACUCUUCUGCACUGGAGCUUUGUAGAUAGAAGUUGUUUUAGUUUGAGAUGGCGUCAUAACCCUCAGGUUCGAGUUUAAAGCAGAAGAAGCGUUACAGGAACUUGUCAUUAAUAUCUCACUGUGACCCGAAAGCUGCUUGUUGGAUGUUUAAUGUAAGAUUAGAAAGUUCAGCUGGUUUAUCUCCUCUCAGGUGUGUGUAAAAGAGAACCUGGCUGUGUCCUUGCAGUGUGUGAUUUCUAUUUCGUCUGUCUUUUCAGAAGGAGGUGGAAGAUUUGAGGGGCCGAUUUUUAUUUUGGUUUUUGUUAAAUAAAAGGUUUCUUUAAACAACCAA